rnacentral:rRNA from 1 species
CCUACGGGUGGCAGCAGUGGGGAAUAUUGCACAAUGGGGGAAACCCUGAUGCAGCGACGCCGCGUGAGUGAAGAAGUCAUUAUUUACGUAAAGCUCUAUCAGCAGGGAAGAAAAUGACGGUACCUGAGUAAGUAGCCCCGGCAAACUACGUGACAGCAGCCGCGGUCAUACGUAGGGGGCCAGCGUUAUCCGGAUUUACUGGGUGUAAAGGGAGCGUAGACGGUGGGCCAAGGCUGGAGUGCAAUGCCGAGGCGUAACUGCGGAACUGCUUUGGAAACUGGCGACCUAGAGUGCGGGAGUGGGAGGCGGAAUGCCUAGUGUAGCGGUGAAAUGCGUAGAUAUUAGGAGGAAGACCGGUGGCGAAGGCGGCUUACUGGACCGUAACUGACGUUGAGGCUCGAAAGCGUGGGGAGCAAACAGGAUUAGAUACCCCUGUAGUC